AAUGCAGAUGCCGCCGUCGCCCGCUCCGGAACUCCGGAAGUAUUAACCGGAACCGGAGAUUUCACCUGGAGAGCUGGAGAGCUGGAGAGCUGGCCGCGGUGAAACAAGGGGAGCUCCGCAACGGCACCUCCUCCAAAAAGGAGAACGACGCCCAAGCGCUGCAUGCUCUCGCCGGCUCCGGCCAAUGGAGACGCAGGCCACAGAGAUAAAAAAGGCUUCGUGAUAAUUUUCCUCAAAAGUUCUUGGGAAAAUAAAUCUAUGUGUUGCAAACGGGCCAUGGAGACAGCAUGCAAGUAUGCAACCGGCCACAGAGAAACCAGUACUAGAAUCAUGCAUUUUUUUUCAUUCAAGCAUCAGGAUCAUGCAGAUUUUACUACAUGGCCUUUUCCUAUUUUUCUCUCUCACAAAAAGGUGUUUCUUUUGGUUUUGGGUACCUCUUACUAGUUAGUAGUAGUACCAGUUUAACCAGGAAAGCAAGGCAGCAACAGGUGCAGUUCAGAAAUCCAGGCAGCUUCAGUGAUGCUAUAGAGGAUUAAUUAAUGAGGAUGCUGGAUGCGCAACCAAAUCAUGAUAAACCAAAGGCGAGACAGUGUUGUGUUUUUUUGCUGCUUCAACAUUUCGUAAACCGAGGGACGCACUUUGUCCCAGCGGUAUAUGCUGCCGUCUUGGGAGCAGGCAAGGAUCAUGCUGAAGAAGG